UCUCUUUCCCAGGUUGAACAAUCCUACUGUUUGCAGCCAUUGAUAUGUUUUGCAUCCCAACAUACCCCUGGCAAUCUCUGAAAAGUUUGACAGAGCAACAAUAAUCUACAAUACAUUUCUUAAGGAGAGGAAGAGACACCAGGAACCUGGCAAGGUAUUUUGAGAGACAUGCUGAAAGAGAUGCUUUUUCACACACAAAGAGAAGGCCUCACUGUCUUCUCCUCUGUUGCAGAGAAAGGACAGUGGCGCCUAGAGUCCUCCAGCUGAGAUCAAAGUCCUAUUGUGGUAGUUGCUGUAUAUGCACAUAUUAAGAGACCAUCCCUUUUCCAUCUCAAAUAGACAAGCCAGUCAAAGAGCGGGAUAAAGAGACUACCAGGGGAAAAUUUGCUGACCCUCAAAUAUGUUGUGGAAGUCCUAUCCAUUGAGAAAUGUAAGACAAUGUGCAAGGACUAGAAAUUUACUACAGAGAACAAUCCUGCAUUGGCAGGGGAUGAACUGGAUAACCUGAUAGUUGUUUUCCAUCUCAAACCUCUGUGGCCCUUUUAAAUAAUGGGGAUAAUUAUGCAUACUGAGAAGCUGGUAGGACGAAAAGCUGUCUGAUUCCAGUACAAUAGGUUUAGAUGGAUUUUUGCAUAUGCACCUCCUAUGUUGGAAACAGAAAAAAGUUUAAAUAAAACCAGU